rnacentral:rRNA from 1 species
GAUGGACGCUGGCGGCGUGCUUAACACAUGCAAGUCGAACGGAAAGGCUCCUGCUUGCAGGGGUACUCGAGUGGCGAACGGGUGAGUAACACGUGGGUGAUCUGCCCUGCACUUCGGGAUAAGCCUGGGAAACUGGGUCUAAUACCGGAUAGGACCACAUUUUGGAUGGUGUGGUGGAAAGUUUUUCGGUGUGGGAUGAGCUCGCGGCCUAUCAGCUUGUUGGUGGGGUAAUGGCCUACCAAGGCGUCGACGGGUAGCCGGCCUGAGAGGGUGUACGGCCACAUUGGGACUGAGAUACGGCCCAGACUCCUACGGGAGGCAGCAGUGGGGAAUAUUGCACAAUGGGCGCAAGCCUGAUGCAGCGACGCCGCGUGGGGGAUGACGGCCUUCGGGUUGUAAACUCCUUUCGCUAGGGACGAAGCGUUUUUGUGACGGUACCUGGAGAAGAAGCACCGGCUAACUACGUG